rnacentral:rRNA from 1 species
GACGAACGCUGGCGGCGUGCCUAAUACAUGCAAGUUGAGCGAUGAAGAUUGGUGCUUGCCCCAAUUUGGAGAGCAGCGAACGGGUGAGUAACGCGUGGGUAAUCUGCCUUUGAGCGGGGGACAACAUUUGGAAACGAAUGCUAAUACCGCAUAACAACUUUAAACAUAAGUUUUAAGUUUGAAAGAUGCAAUUGCAUCACUCAAAGAUGAUCCCGCGUUGUAUUAGCUAGUUGGUGAGGUAAAGGCUCACCAAGGCGAUGAUACAUAGCCGACCUGAGAGGGUGGUCGGCCACAUUGGGACUGAGACACGGCCCAAACUCCUACGGGAGGCAGCAGUAGGGAAUCUUCGGCAAUGGACGAAAGGCUGACCGAGCAACGCCGCGGGAGUGAAGAAGGUUUUCGGAUCGUAAAACUCUGUUGGUAGAGAAGAACGUUGGUGAGAGUGGAAAGCUCAUCAAGUGACGGUAACUACCCAGAAAGGGACGGCUAACUACGUG